ensembl:lncRNA
CUUAAAGAAGGUUAGAGUCCACAGCAUCCCCACGUUUAUUUAAUCAUGUGCAUCUCUCCUCCUUUUUAUUUUUGGCAUCAUUGCCCAGCACUGUUUGCUGACUCUCUAAGCUAAUCACUUCUGGGAAAGCUCACGCCUCCCUGGCUCUUGAUAAGGGGCAAGGAGAGUAAUCAAGACAGGAGGCUGUCACGAUAGCUAGCACCCAAGUGGACUCACAGAAGCUGCCAAGAGAAUGACCUUCCUUAACUCGUGGACAGAGGUCACCAAGAUUCUUCCCGACUGAGAUGUGUUGCUCUUGCAGACCAAGAUGUUUAUUAGUUCUACUAAUUCAAUAAAUACAUUCCUUAUCUACCAAGAGAACAGGAUAUACCAAGCUUGCGUUACCACAUGCAGAAUCUCUUACAAGACUCAUGGGACCUAAUCCCUAGAGGGGUAGCACAGGAGGCUGGGAUGGAGUGAUUGAUGAUCAUUUAUCCAACAAAUAGUUGCAAGGCCAUGGGAAUUGGAAGACCUGGACUAGCUACAAAUCCCCCUGGCAAUCUUGGACAAGCUCCUUAUCCUUCCUGUGUUGAUAAUCAUAAAAGACAUUCCUUACUGAGUCAUUUACCUCUCCAAGUCUCUGAUUACUUUAACCACUCAUAAUGGGCUUUUGAGCCUCAGAAGGCUUCUCCUGUCUGUGAAAGGCCAAGCAUGUGGUUGUCUCUGUGAAGAAGGCUCUGAAUGUUGCUGAUCCUGGGAUAAUCAGCCAGGAAGGCCGAAGCUCCCGGAGCAGACAAGGUGACUCAGGGCUGGCAGCCACAGCAUCUCCACAGCAGAAUCUUGGUCUCUGGGCAGAAGAUGCUGCAGCAAGCUGCUGGACUGAGCUGCUUCCUGCCCCCUCAGACCUAAUGAGAAGAGACAGGCCUACCAGUGUCUGCUGGAUGGGGGUAGGAGUGUCUGUGCGGACCAUGUGGAUCCUUCCCUGGGCAGGCUGACAGCCCCGCAGGUCUUUUAACACUGGAGGGGAAAUUCCCUGCCUCUUGCGGGGAUGGAGCAUACUGCAGUACCGUCACCAGGCUCCUCACCAACUCUGCUGAGUUCAGAGCUGAGCCUUCCCCCAAGUCAGAGCACGGAGAGUUGAGGAGCAAGAGUGAGGCCUUCAGGAGAGGUAAAAGGUCAGGGCUUGUCCUGCAAGGGAGAG